CAGUUGGGUGGAAGGGACCUCAUGGUGUGCCACGAGGCUCUGGGACUGGUUUGUAGUGGGGAGUAGGGUAGAGGCGUUGCCAUUAGUAAUUCAGGAAGUAAGAUGCCAUUUCUACUGCAGGGAAGACAGAAACGUGGGCCUCGCAGCACAGCCUGCUGCCUGAGGCCUUCCCCGCGCCAUAAUGUGUGCUUGUACCCUGGGAUUAGAUUGUGAUUUGGUGACUUGUUCUGCAGGGGUGGCUCCGUGCCACGGGACGAGCGAGGCCGUGAGAUUGCUGGGACGUAGGGACCAGGCCGGGCAGCGAGUCCCGGAGAAGACAGACAGAAGAGAGGAAGUCCCUGGGAAAACAGAGCCGGGAGCCAGGAGCUGCCCGAGGGAAGACGGAGCGAGUCCGAGGAAGGACGGGGGAACCGCCCUGGCACAAUAAAGACGGUUUUUGAGCUGAGCUGUGUGUCGCGCUGUUGGGGACAGCUGACCCCCGCUUCCCGGGAGCCCAGCAAAACAAAGCUAUUCAAGGUGGUGGGGCUGCAGAUCCCUGGGGAAGACAAGGACAGAGAAAAGCCGGGGUCCCGAGACAAAGGGUUGCCCCUCGCGAAGCCACACCACAGCUGGCUUCAGGGCGCCCUUCAGGAGAGGGAGACCGAAAAAGGCUGCUUCUUGGCAGAGCUUCCCCUGAAAGCGGAGUGAUCCCUGACAGGGUGAACAGAUCCCCACGCCUGCAACCGGUGGGGAAGACUAGGUAAGGAUAUGGACAUUAAAGAUGGACACAGCACCCCACCGGGCUCGCGUCACCAGAGGGCCCAUCGGAUCAUAGCAACUCCUGAUUGCCACAAACCUGUGCUGGAUACGCAAAAUUUUAGGGACGACUGAGUUACAUCACCUUGCUGCAGCCUUUCAGUCAACAGCCUGCCAGGAGUCCUGCCCCUGCAUUGUGAGCUCCUCGCUUUACACCUUCACUGACCGGCUUUCUUGCGUGCAAACCAGCCUCUGGCUUCUUCACUAUUCACUUUAUCCAGGAAGAGCGCACACACUGACUGCAGAUGCUUCCUCAGCCUAGUGAAGGGUAUUUAUACCCAAACACUUGCAAAGAAGAAUUUUUCCAACUAUCUGAGUCGGUCUAAUAAAAGAUACCAGAUUUACACAAAGAAGCUUGCCUGCUGGUGUAAACAUCUUGGCUUUUUUAUCCAUGUGGGAAUCACUAAUACAGUGGACAAAGGUCAUGAGGAGGAGGUCCGUCAUCAGGGCUGUCCCAUCCGUAUCCAGCUGCAGAAUAACCUUUGAUUCCUCUGAGGAGCCCUCUGGCCCUCAGUACAUCCAGCACGUAUUACCCAGCACGUAUUACCCUUUGGCCAUCAGUACACCCAGCCCAUAUUACCCAGCUCUAUUGCCUGGGUAAUAUUAUGCAGCAAGUGCCUCUGGUUUUUAAGCUCUGUUUCUCUCAUGGGACAGCUGCUUUUCACCUGUAGGCUGCGAGCCUAAGCAGGAGCACGGUUGUACAGGAGGAUUAUGGGACAAAUACUUAUGGCUAAAUAAGACAGUCUUGAGUGCUUUAAGUUAAAGUAAUCAGUUUAGAUCCGAAUCUGAUGUCCUUUGGGCAGCACUAUUACCAUCCUUCCCACCCACCCCCUUUUACAGAUGGAGAAACUGAGGCACAAAGGAGGUAAGUGACUUGACCAAGGUGAUACCCGCUGGCAGGGAAUUUCAGGGUUCACCAAUCCCAGACUUGGUAACUUGUGCACCCAGACCACAAAGACAACAGCUCCCCUAGUCGUGGGGGCAGCGUUUCUUUAGGACCAUCUUCAGUGCACUAUUAUACUUCCACUCCGAUCAGGAUUAGGAUCAUAGGAAAGUAGAGCUGGAAGGGGCUUCACAAGUUCAUCUAGGGCAGGAGCAUCCUUGACUAAACCAUCCCAGCCAAGCGUCUGUCCAACCUGCUCUUGAAAAUUUCCUAGGAUGGAAAGUCCACAGCUGUUCAAAACAGGCUCCUCCAAUGCCUGAGCCCCCUCAGAGUCAGAAAGUCACUUCAAAUCUCCAACCUAAAUCUACCCAGCUUCAUCCUGGGGCAUUUGCUUCUUGUUCUGUCCCCUGUGGCCACAGAGAAAAGCCCAUUUCCAUCCUCUUUAAUAGCCUUUCCUGUUAUCAAACCCUUCCUCAGUCUCCUCUCCAGACUAAAUACCCCUACUCCGUUCAGCCUUUCCUCAUCAUCAGUCUUGCCUCUCAGGCCCUAAUCAUUUUUGUUGUUCUGCGCUGGAUUCUUUCCAAACUGUCCCCAUCCUUGGAAUGAGGGGCCCAAAACUGGGCCCAGUCCACAGGCCUCAUCAGUGCUGAAUAGAGAAGAAGAAUCACUUCCCUUGAUUUUCAAGUGACACCUGUUAAUACAACCCAGGGUGCUGUUGGCGUUUUUUGCAACAAGAGCACACUGUUGACUCGUGUUCAGUUUAUGGUCCCCCGUAACCUCCAGGUCCCUCAAUGCAGUGCUGCAGCCCAUCCUGUCAUUCCAUGGGUCCAUGUCAGGAGCUACUUUCAAAACCAAAUCUGUCCUACAACAGCCUUCUUCCAGCAAGCUAAACAGGAAAUCCUGCCGUCAAAAAUAGCUUGCAACAAACCCAAAGAAGAAUUUAUCACUUCAAAACACGACCUAGUGUAUAUUUAAGCUUGUUUGGAGCCCUGUGCUUACAGGUACUAGGCAGGGAAAGCUGGGCACUGCAACACUUUAUGUGCUGAAUCAACAAGGGGAAGGAUGGCAGGGUUUCCUCAACCCACAUUGUAGCUGGUUUCUGCUCAAAUAUAAAUGAGGAGUGGUGAUCUCUAGAGAGACAUCAGUAAACAGAGCUGGUCCUGCCCAGUAGAGGACCUUGGGGAUGAUACCAGAUUAAAUGCGACCAGUGGUCCUAUAUAACGCAGCAGAGAAGAGACAGAAAAGUGAUGGGAAGAUACUGGACUAGAAGGAUCAUUGGUCCAGCUUGGUGAUAUGAACAGAAUCAAACUUCUAUCACAGAAAUCACCGCGUCCUGUUUUGCCAAGUUAACACGGAAGCUUUUGGUUUUCUUAAUCUGGAUGUUUGCAUUUUAAGUAACUGUCAAGCCAUUCCAUUAAGCAGACAUCAAAGAAAGGCUGGGAGUAGCAUCAUCGUCAACUGCAGAAACAUGUAUAAUGAGGCAUCGGACAAAAGCAGCUGUCGGUUCAGUGCCAGAGCCGGUGAAGGGCAGGAAGGAAUGUGUCUCAUUAGAAUAUUGCUUCUCUGCUCAGGAAUGUUGUGCGCUCUUCUCUUUUUACACUCUUUUCUGAUUACAUGAGUCUGACAGGAGGCCUGGGUUUCUGGCUCUCCAGUUUUAGCUAACCCCAUGUCUGUCUCUAGCCCCUAAAUUGGCAGCAGCAGGGCUGUACCUCUACAGUGCUGCAGGCAGACUAAUUAGCAUGGGGGCAGGCUAACUGGCUCUCAUUGACCAGUGCUAACCAGCUCAACUGAAGCACAGUUGGCGUGUCUACAUUUACGCCAGCUUAAAUUUACUAUGCAGUAAAUGGAAAUAGGCUGGCAUCUACAAGUGUGGAUGUUAAAGCUCAUUAACAGUGUGUGUGGCUUGACUUGGGACUUAAAUUAAUCCCAUGUCAGUCCACAUACACAGUAUUACUGCACAGUAAGGUGUCUACACAUGCAUUACUGUGCAGUAACUAAUCGGGUAUAAGUCUGAUACCUGCAUGGUGCAGGUAUCAAAUUUACACUCAAGUCUGCAUAAGUCACCGUAUUUACUGCGCAGUACGGGUGUGCACAUGUAGAUGUGUGCCUGUACUGCACAGUAAUUUUGGUUACUGUACAGUAAAUGUGCACGUGUAGAUGUGCCCAGUGUGGACCUGGCCACACUGCCAGAUUGGGAGCUGACCUGUAUGGAGCAGUGUGUUGUGUCUGAGGACACUUGCCAAGUCUGAUGAGUUUACCCUACAGAUAUGGCCUAAGUCGCAUCCUCCUUCCUCCAUUUCCCCCUCAGUAAAAGGGAGGUUACACGUGACUCGGAGGAGAGCCCAAGGGGUUAAUUUAUUUAUAUUCAUCAAGUGUUUUAAGGCUCUCAUGCAGAAGGCACAAUGUACCCUCACAGCCUGAUUUUCAGCUAAGGCAUCGGGCUUGCCGAUGGCAUGAACCAUCACAUGCCCUUGCCACAUGCAUUACCACACUUGCACAUGGGGCCUGGGACGUUGUGUGAACACAUGGCUUGCCCUCCCUGCGUGUACCCAGGGUGGCUGACAUGCACCAGCAGAGGAAAAGCAACAGCAGCAUGCUCACAAACACAUGAGUCUUUUCUGGCUGCAAAUCAAGCUCUCAAAACUGACAGGUCUCAAGUUGCUGUUUUUCCAGCUCUUAAGCCACGAAGCUGAAGCUGUCAGGGAAGCCCCAGGAAUUUAUUCUGGUCUUUUUCUUCUAGCAGGAUGGAGAUUAGUGAGUCCAAGCAGAUGCUCAGCUGAAAGCUUGCUGAGUAAAGGAAACCCAUCUGGUGUCUGGAUGUAGCCAAGUCUCCGUGAGAGCAGGUCUCGAUGCUCUUACUUUAGGGCAACUCAGCACACCUGACAGCUCCUCCCUGCUUUCAGCUCUAGAUCCAAGUCACCUGCUGAAGUCUGUUUCUUCAUCCAUUGUUCCCUCCACGGCUGGCUGCUCCUGGUAUGUGUCUCAAGGUGGAGCCUUCUGGACACACCAUUACCUGUUCCUGUGCAGAAAGAGGUCUGGUUUCCCCCAUCCAGCAGCUUGCUCAUGGGAAGCCAGCCCUGAGAACCUAGCACUGCAGGUCAAUCAGAUCAUCCCAUCCGAAAAAGCACAGCGGGCUCGAGUUGUCUUACGUGAGGGUCCCUAAAAUGCAGGUUUCCAAUAGACAGGAUCAGUGUUCAACUGCUAAGGGGCAAGGCAAGGGGAGUGCUGGGCCACUCCAUUGUGGUCCAGUGAGCUCAAACCCUAGUCACACAAUACAGAGCCGUCAAUGAGCCCUUUGCACCUCUGUGUCUCCCUGUGUUGCCUGGACAUUGAGUCACUGAGGCUCACCACACCUGUCGGCUGUUGUUAUGGAGUUAAUUAUCCUCAUUUCACUGCUGAGGUCAAAGAGAUUAAGUGGGAACAUUACCUAGUAAGGUAGGAGCAGAACCAGAACUAAUCUUGCUAUCUAAGAGGCCUUCUCCUCCACUCUUUGAUGCCCUCCACCUUCUCAGGCAGUAAUUUUUAACCUUUUUUUCAUUUGCAGACCCCUAAAAAAUCUCAAAUGGAGGUGCAGACCCCUUUGAAUUGUACGUGUGCAUAUUCACAUAUUUUGAUUGUUGAGAGUCACCUUUGGCAGACCCCUUAGACAUAGCCUGCAGACCCACAGGGGUCCACGGACCACAGGCUGAAAACCACUGGUCUAAGGUUUGCAGCUUAGCACUGGACGGUUUCAGGCUCUUCUGGGAUGGUCCCUGCUCCGUCUUCCCUUCCAUGAACAGCUGUGUCUGAGCACAGCAGCCUAUUUCACACGGCACCUUCCUUGCCCAAACAGUCCAUGCACUACAGCAGAAAGGCAAGCAGGGAUCACUUCCUCCGGCAGGAGUUUUGGACAAAAAGUGAAAGCAAAUUCAUAGCAGGUUGAAGCCGCCAGAGAAAUGUAUGCCUGGUGGGUUAUUAUUACCCAUGCUGGAAUGUAGCCAGGUCAUUAGGCCUGACACGCUUACCCGGCCUGCUUUUUUAUUUUAUUAUGUUCCUUCCCCCACCGCCACUGAAGCAAUGUAAGAGUUGCUCACUGCUCUUUGGGUCACACGCAAGUCACAGGACAAAGGGUUUCUCCACAAUCACAAUUAGCAAUUAGAAACCCGCUUUUCUAACAGGAAUGAAGACUCUCAGUUAAUCCCAUGACUCCAGGAGCUGAGGCAUCAGUAAUAUAGCCCCCAACUGGGACAAGACUGAGCAAUACAACUCCAUUUGAGGGACAGCUGGCAGUCCCUGGGCUGUCACAGUGCCAGAAAGGCUGCAAAGAUCAGGGACUCUCCCUUGCAACGCAUAGCCAGGGUCAAGUCCUGCACUAGAGAAAUCAGUGGUUGUACUGCAAUGCACUUGAAUGAGCUUGUGGUCAGGUCUUGGACAAUGUCAGAUGACUCCAACACUGCACUGUUGGAGCAGGAGAACGGCCAGGGAAGUUCCAGAUGCAGAGAGCAGUUAACAUGGGUGGUGAGUCACAGCGCUUGGUCUCCAAAGAGGAUAACCUUUUCUGCUGGUGCCUCAGGCUAGCCCAUCCCCAGCUCUACUUGGCCAGCCAGAGGGAAGUGGCUUCUUGGCACUGGUCCCUGGCUCAUGCUUGGGGACGGGGUUGAGGCUGCUCUGGUUACAGCUUUCCUCACCUCCCUGUUCUCCACCUCCCCUUGCUCAGCUGUACCUACCGUGAUGGUGAGCAGUAGUGCCAUCCCAGUGAACAAACCCGCAGUUCUCUGUCAGACAGGCCCAGCAGCCUGUAUCACUGGAGCAAGGAUGAAGACAGCUCCAGCCUGGAGCUGCAGACCCAUAGACACUCAUCAUAUUUCUGUCAAGAAAAUGCAAAAAAAUGUACUUUUUCUUGUCAAAUUGCUAUCAUCUUUGGUUGGUCAAAAAAUAGGUAGUCAAUUGACCAGUCGAUUGACAGUAUUUAACCAAUUAAUUGACUGUCUUGCCAACCCAGUACUGUUAGCACAUGGUCCCCAGACUGGCUGAGACAAAGCAGUGCCCUAUACACCCUUGGCAGCACUACCCCGCUGAUGGAAAGGAUUUGCCACAAGAAUAGGUGUUAACAACCCCUUUUCCCUUAUCAUGGUCUGAAUAUUCCACCAAUCAAGCAAUCCUUCGUUCUGCAAUUCUGCUGCCUCUUUGUGGCUCCUGGUAAUGAAGCUCCUAUUUCCUAGCCCUGCAAACUGUUUUUUAUCUCAUUCCAAUGAAGUUAUAUUUGUUUUUGCAUUCCUUUUAAAUGGAAUAAUACAGCCCCAGGCCCCUAGCGUAUUACUAAAGCUUCUAGUUUCUUUUUACCUGGAGAAAAAUAUGCAUUGUGAUGAUGUACAAUGUGCACCUCACCCUCCCAAAAUCCUAGAUCCUCCCAUGACUGAUCAGAUAGCAUAGAGCAGGGUUUCUCAUCCUUUUUAGACUCAAGGCACCCAUCAAUUGACUUGAGGCACCCCACAACUUCUGUAAAUUAAGCAGCACUGCAUUUCAAGAACUAAUUCAUAGAAAAUGAGGGUUGGAAGGGACCUCAGGAGAUCACAUCUAGUCCAACCCCCUGCUCAAAGCAGGACCAGCUCCAACUACAUCAUCCCAGCCAAGCCUUUGUCUAGCCAGAUUUUAAACACCUCCAAAGAUGGAGACUCCACCACCUCUCUGGGUAACCUGUUCCAGUGGUUUACUAACCUCCUUGUGGGAAAGUUUUUCCUAAUUUCUAACAUAAUUGAUUUAGCACAGUGCUUACCUCUUUGCAGAGAGGCUGGGGAGUGGGCACAGGACAACAGCCAGCCUGAGCCUACACUUAUCUCCUCAUAUGUGCUCAUCCCCUCACAGCUCGCAACACCCCAGUUGAGAAUCACUGGUGGAGACAGCGCUUUGCUGCCCGCAGGCAUCUUUGCGACCUAGUAGGGCUUCACACCCCGAGUCAAAGGCAAUGCUGCCAGCAGUACAGCCCCUCCUAGGGUUUGGGUCUGUGCUGACAUGGAACAGUGCCAGGUCUCCUCGCUACCGCAUGCCUGGGUUGGACUCCUUGGCUCUUCCGCGGCAUGACUGAGCCCUCUCCCACCACCGUGUAGACACACCCUGACUGAGGCUGGCUGCACCCUCGAAAUGGAAGUCCUGCAUCCCUGCCAUUAUUCCACCUUUCCCUCCACCUCCUUCUGCCUUGCCCCGUUCUGGUUCGACUGAGGCCCCCCUUCCCUCCAGCCCUUCCUGAAGCACAGGCUCCGGGACAUUUCCCAGUAGAGUUGUUUCCUGCUGCCAUCUCCCUGGGCCCCAAGACCUACAGAGACCAGAGGGAGCCUGUUGUGAACAAGUUUAGGGGUUUCUAGACUGGAGCUAGCCUGUUCUCAGUGGGGGCAGAUGACAGGACAAGGAGCAAUGGGCUCAAGUUGCAGCAAGGCAAGUUGAGGUUGGAUAUGAGGAAA